rnacentral:misc_RNA from 1 species
GAAAUGCGAUAAGUAAUGUGAAUUGCAGAAUUCAGUGAAUCAUCGAAUCUUUGAACGCACCUUGCGCUCCUUGGUAUUCCGAGGAGCAUGCCUGUUUGAGUGUCUUGAAGUCAUCAACCCCUCCGUUUCUUUCGGGGAACGGGGAAGGUUGGAUUAUGGGGGCUUGCAGCCGCAAGGCCGCUCCCCUCAAAUGCGUCGGUUGGACCUGGGGUCGGACUCGAUUGGGCGUUGUAUCAUCCUCGCUCUGACAAGUCCCCCCGUUCCGCGUCCUUCCACGACUCGCCUUUUGGAGAGGCAGUCAAACACUCUUUGAAAUCUGACCUCAAAUCAGGUAGGACUACCCGCUGAACUUAA